CCCCACUGCCCUUGAGCAAUGCCUGAAAACAUCAGGCACUGGGUAUUCAGUAAACAAAUACCCUAGGAUGAGAAAAGAUGCUGACUUUGCUUAGUUAUGGAGAUUCUCCCUUUCGCCCUCAAGUCAUCUGAAGCCCUGUUUUCGCUGGGCAUGCUGCCAUUCAGCCAAAAGACCACAUUCCUCAAUCUCUGUCUCUUCCAGGGAGAUGUGGCCACAGGACUCAGUUCUGACCAAGGAGCUGAGAUGUGAUGGCUGGAGACUCAACACCAUUCUGGACGGGUCUUGCUCUGUCUCCCAGGCUGGAGUGCAGUGGCGCAUUCAUAGCUCAAGUGAUCCUCCCGCCUCAGCCUCCCAGGUAGCCAGGACUACAGGUCUGCACCACCACACCCGGCCAUUGGUCUAAUUUCUAAGCAAGGCCAGUGUCUUCCAAUGAGCUCAGGGUGGGAAACCCCACGGGGGUUGGGCUGUGAACUGUACCAGGUGGCCCAAGCUGGGGGUCCAAAAAGACAGAUCCACAUCUCAAAUCCACUGAACUCUGGGAAUCCCUGUGAUGACCUGAGACCUGCAUCAUCACUGCCCCC
rnacentral:lncRNA from 1 species